GAGGGGAUGGGGGAAGAGACUAGCGCACGCCCUUCCCCUUGUGACAGGAACCGAGUAGGAGCCGCCACCGAUUCCUCCCGACUCUCAAGCCCAGGGCCCCCAACUUGGGCUACACCGGGUUUUCCGGCAGCGAUGGCGCAAAAUGCUUAGAGGUCUGCUCGAACUCCAAAUCCAGGUCCUUUGGGGGGUUCAGUCAGAGAAGUAAGACCACCAACUGGCUCACAAGAAAAGCGUCCAUUUCUGAAAAGAUGAAAGAGCAAUUAGAUUUGUUCAUCAAUUUGUUCAGAUUUGUUCAUCAGUAUUGUAACAAUCAUCUUUUACCCAUGAAUGACAAGUCUGACUCAAUCUUUGGGCUACCAUUUUUCCUGUUUCUCUGAACGAUGAGCAGAGAGAAAGGGGAGGAGGAACAACAGAACAUAGUAUCUGUAAAAAUACUAGUGGUAAAUCAAAGGCAUUCAAGUAGAAUGUCAAAUAUGGAACUUGAUAACCAAAAUACAUACUUCAUAGAUACAAAAAUUAAAUCUAUAGGAUUAACAAAAAAACCAGGAGCCAAUGGCUUUUUUACUCCAGCAGUACCAACGGCAACAUCUGAUUAUUUGUUUCAGAUCCAUCUAGAUUCAUAUAUUCCAAGGCCAGAAUUGACCAUCAUCAUCAUCUUGUCUGACCUCCUUGUAUAGCACAGGCCAUAGAACUUUCCCAAAUUCCUGGAGCAUAUCUUUUAGAAAAACAUCCAAUCUUGAUGUAAAAACUGCCAAUGAUGAAGAAUCCACCACAAUCCUUGGUAAAUUGUUCCCAUUAUUAAUUACCUUCACUGUUAAAAAUGUACGCCUUAUUUCCAGUCUGAAUUUGUCUAGAUUCAAUUUCCAACCACUCGAUUGUGUUAUACCUUUCUCUACUAGAGCCCAUUAUCAAAUAUUUGUUCUCCAUAUAGGUAUUUACAGAUUAAUAUAAUCAAAUUACCUCUUAACAUACUUUGUUUUGAGUCCAUCACUAUAAGGGAUGUUUUCUAACCCUUUAGUCAUUCUCAUGGCUCUUCUCUGAACUCUCUCCAAUUUAUCUGCAUCCUUCUUGAGCUGUGGACACCAGAACUGGACACAGUAUUCCAGCAGUGGUGACACCAAAUACAGAGGUAAAAUAACCUCUACUCAUUUGAGAUUCCCAUUUAUGCGUCCAACAAGGAUUGUAUUAGCCCUUUGGGCCACAGUAUUACACUGGGAAUGCAUGUUCAGGUGAUUAUCUUUCAUGAUAUUGUUCAGCAUCAAUUAGCUCCCCCAUUCAUACCUCUUCCUAUGCGUUUGAAAUUGUGCAGGAACAGUGGGAAUUAAAAAGGGGGGUGGGGGAGACAAGUCAGUCUUUCACAAGGGUCAAAUCCAGCCUAGGUUUGUAGGGAUCAAAAGUCUACCAGCUAGUAGUGUUUUUGGUGAUUUAUGCAAAAUAAGUUUGUGAUUACAUUCCACUUCCUAUCAGGCAUAUAGCCACUUCAGACCCAACAUCUCAACUGGCACUUUCUUUGAUAGUCUGAAACAGGCCAAGGAUCGAAGAGUUCUGGACAUGAAGCUUUCCUCUCACCUCUACACACAGCCUCUCCAGGUUCAGGUUUAUGCAUAUAGCAGGUCAAUGUGGAAAAUGUGUAAUGCCUGUGCAGUUCAGUGAAUUAAUAAUGCCUUCAGUUCUACAGUAAUCACUCCAGUAACUUUUCCUAGAACUAGUCGCCGACAUUAAAAAUAGCUUUCCUUCCAAAAAGAUUUUCUCUUUCAUUACUCGCCCCUGUAUUAUACAAAUACAAUUUACCUAGGGCCAGGUUUGGGAACUUUGCCAGCCUUUAGUUCAUCGAUUAUGUCUUCAAUAUCUUUUGGUGUCAGAUCUUCCUGUAAAAUGAAAGAGACCAUGCUAUUAAAGAAAAUUUAAAACAACA